CACGACUUCCCAUCAAACCAACUCCUUGAAUGCAAAGUUCAAAAAUCACCGGAGGACAUCUUUAAGGAAAAUGUUUUUAUUUUUAAUGUUUCGCUUAACAUAAUAUUAUUAAUUGUAAAAAAAAUUUUUAAAAAAAAUGCAUUAAAAUGUCUGUAAGAGGAUAAGCAACAACAAAUGUAGGUAUUAAUAAAGCACUUCUAUAUCUUCUAAAAUACUUUUUACAACGGAGGAAGAGGAGUGCCAAGAUGGAGUUGGCUUCCAAACGGCGACCCCUGUCAGUCAUCGAGUGUAUAUAUAUAUAAAUCAUCGGCUCAGAAACCAGCUAGCUAUUACAUUGAAAUGUAUGCAUUGCUUUACAUUGGUUGUUAUUCCAUUGAAAUGUAUGCAUUGCUUUACAUUGGUUGUUAUUCCAUUGAAAUGUAUGCAUUGCUUUACAUUGGUAGUUAUUCCAUUGAAAUGUAUGAAUUGCUUUACAUUGGUUGUUAUUCCAUUGAAAUCCACAAAGUGCUUUGCAUUGGUUUUUCAGGUAACCAAGGAAGAAGGCACUGAGCCCCAAGUUGUCCCCACAAACUCCAGUGCUUGAGAUGUCCUCCUCCUCUAACUUAUUCUUCAAUAAUUUCAUUCCCAGUGUGCUGCACUGACUGCCGACAGGUUAGGACAGUCCCGUGUGGCUCAGUUGGUAGAGCAUGACACUUGCAGUGCCAGGGUUGUGGGUUCGAUUCCCACAAGGAGCCAUUAUUAAAACGUAUGCACUCACACCAGUAAAUUGCUCUGGAUUAGAGUGCACGUAAAAUGACAGACAGGGACAUUUUUAUUUAUGUCUUUGGAUAAAAGUUUAAACGUCAUCAAUGAGUAUCUCUUCACCCUUAGAUAUUAGAAAACAUGUAUCUUCUGUGUUGUAGGGGUGACAUGCUGUGACUAAAGGACAUCGGACGUGAGUUGUCUUCCAGAGAAAACAAAAGAGGCCAAGUGACCUGGCAGAGGAUGCUGAAACACUUCUAAAUGGUUGGAACCAACACGUGCAGUAUCUCCAUCAUUUGCCGCCAGCUCAGGGACAAGUCUCACUGCUCACAGCCCUGUGUAAAUGUAUUUAGUGGACAGGUGCUGGACCUUUUCAAACGUAUCCGUCUUGUUUAUCUUGUAUUUUCCAUUGUGUUAGUGAUAGGUGGGGUGAAAUAAAAGAUUGUUUGCAAUG